rnacentral:rRNA from 1 species
AGUGAACGCUGGCGGUAGGCCUAACACAUGCAAGUCGAACGGCAGCACAGUAAGAGCUUGCUCUUACGGGUGGCGAGUGGCGGACGGGUGAGGAAUACAUCGGAAUCUACUUUUUCGUGGGGGAUAACGUAGGGAAACUUACGCUAAUAACGCAUACGACCUACGGGUGAAAGCAGGGGAUCUUCGGACCUUGCGCGAUUGAAUGAGCCGAUGUCGGAUUAGCUAGUUGGCGGGGUAAAGGCCCACCAAGGCGACGAUCCGUAGCUGGUCUGAGAGGAUGAUCCGCCACACUGGAACUGAGACACGGUCCAGACUCCUACGGGAGGCAGCAGUGGGGAAUAUUGGACAAAGGGCGCAAGCCUGAUCCAGCCAUACCGCGUGGGUGAAGAAGGCCUUCGGGUUGUAAAGCCCUUUUGUUGGGAAAGAAAAGCAGCAGGUUAAUACCCCGCUGUUCUGACGGUACCCAAAGAAUAAGCACCGGCUAACUUCGUG